rnacentral:rRNA from 1 species
UACGAAGGGGGCUAGCGUUGUUCGGAUUUACUGGGCGUAAAGCGCGCGCAGGCGGCCUUUUAAGUCUGGCGGUGAAAUGCCGGGGCUCAACCCCGUUACAUGCCGCGGAUACUGGGAGGCUGGAGACGAGUAGAGGCAAGCGGAAUUCCGGGUGUAGCGGUGGAAUGCGUAGAGAUCCGGAAGAACACCGGAGGCGAAGGCGGCUUGCUGGGCUUGGUCUGACGCUGAGGCGCGAAAGCGUGGGGAGCGAACAGG